UUCGGACGGGACCCGCACAAGCGGUGGAUGAUGUGGAUUAAUUCGAUGCAACGCGAAAAACCUUACCUACCCUUGACAUGUCCGGAACUUGCCAGAGAUGGCUUGGUGCCCGAAAGGGAAUCGGAACACAGGUGCUGCAUGGCUGUCGUCAGCUCGUGUCGUGAGAUGUUGGGUUAAGUCCCGCAACGAGCGCAACCCUUAUCAUUAGUUGCUACGCAAGGGCACUCUAAUGAGACUGCCGGUGACAAACCGGAGGAAGGUGGGGAUGACGUCAAGUCCUCAUGGCCCUUAUGGGUAGGGCUUCACACGUCAUACAAUGGUCGGUACAGAGGGUUGCCAAGCCGCGAGGCGGAGCCAAUCCCACAAAGCCGAUCGUAGUCCGGAUUGUUCUCUGCAACUCGAGAGCAUGAAGUCGGAAUCGCUAGUAAUCGCAGGUCAGCAUACUGCGGUGAAUACGUUCCCGGGUCUU
rnacentral:rRNA from 1 species